CCAAUGGAGUCCAAAGAGACUGGCUUGAAACUGCUGGAGAAGGAGAACGAGAUACUCCGUGUUCAGCUGAUGUGUAAGGUGUGUCGCAUGGCGCCUGUGAAAGAUUUGUUCCUUCCCUGUGGUGAGCUCAGCACUUGUUCUGACUGCUCAAAGCUGCUCACUCAUUGUCCAUCGUGCAAUAAACAGAUACUGGCCACUGUGACGGUGUAUUUUAGUUAGAAUGAGGAAUACAAAAAGAUGAUUUCACAGUGUUUAGAAAAAGAUGUCUUACAAAGAUGUACAGAUACCAAGAACACAUUAAAACUAUACGAGAGAUGCUUUCUCUUAUCUAUUGUAUCACUAUAGCUUUGUCUUCACUUCACUAUUACAUUAUCCUUGAUCAUGUCUAUGUCCUUUAUUUCCGCACUCUUGGCGCACGUUCCAUUCUCUCUUUCAUUGUCUUCUGUCUCAUUUCUGCACUUGACCAAAUAACAACUCCACCAGUUGUGUCUGUAAACUGCCUGUCCCAAGUCAGGAGAAAGGAGGAGGGUUUAGUUUGGGACUAGCAAACCCAACUUGUAAAAAAACAAAGAUACUUCAAGGAGACUUUAAAUCUUUUCCUCAUUCUUUUCGACAACUUUCUUCUUUCAGCCUAAACAUCUAAACAAUGUUCAUGUGUUAUAUCUUGACCGUCAUUUUGUUUAAGUAUGAUGGUCCAUAGGUCUACUAGUGUAAUAUAUAUAUAAAUAAAAUGUAAUAUUAAACACUUUAAGUAUAAUUUCACUUUGAAGCAUGAAUGUAUUAGUAACUAGCUACACAACUUAGAUGUUGAAAAAAGCUACAAGCCGAAUAUUUUAACGAAUUAUAUUUAUUUACUAUAAAUACAAAA
rnacentral:sRNA from 1 species